UGAGUAACACGUGGGUAACCUGCCCUUAAGUGGGGGAUAACAUUUGGAAACAGAUGCUAAUACCGCAUAAAUCCAAGAACCGCAUGGUUCUUGGCUGAAAGAUGGCGUAAGCUAUCGCUUUUGGAUGGACCCGCGGCGUAUUAGCUAGUUGGUGAGGUAACGGCUCACCAAGGCAAUGAUACGUAGCCGAACUGAGAGGUUGAUCGGCCACAUUGGGACUGAGACACGGCCCAAACUCCUACGGGAGGCAGCAGUAGGGAAUCUUCCACAAUGGACGCAAGUCUGAUGGAGCAACGCCGCGUGAGUGAAGAAGGCUUUCGGGUCGUAAAACUCUGUUGUUGGAGAAGAAUGGUCGGCAGAGUAACUGUUGUCGGCGUGACGGUAUCCAACCAGAAAGCCACGGCUAACUACGUGCCAGCAGCCGCGGUAAUACGUAGGUGGCAAGCGUUAUCCGGAUUUAUUGGGCGUAAAGCGAGCGCAGGCGGUUUUUUAAGUCUGAUGUGAAAGCCCUCGGCUUAACCGAGGAAGUGCAUCGGAAACUGGGAAACUUGAGUGCAGAAGAGGACAGUGGAACUCCAUGUGUAGCGGUGAAAUGCGUAGAUAUAUGGAAGAACACCAGUGGCGAAGGCGGCUGUCUGGUCUGUAACUGACGCUGAGGCUCGAAAGCAUGGGUAGCGAACAGGAUUAGAUACCCUGGUAGUCCAUGCCGUAAACGAUGAAUGCUAGGUGUUGGAGGGUUUCCGCCCUUCAGUGCCGCAGCUAACGCAUUAAGCAUUCCGCCUGGGGAGUACGACCGCAAGGUUGAAACUCAAAGGAAUUGACGGGGGCCCGCACAAGCGGUGGAGCAUGUGGUUUAAUUCGAAGCAACGCGAAGAACCUUACCAGGUCUUGACAUCUUUUGAUCACCUGAGAGAUCAGGUUUCCCCUUCGGGGGCAAAAUGACAGGUGGUGCAUGGUUGUCGUCAGCUCGUGUCGUGAGAUGUUGGGUUAAGUCCCGCAACGAGCGCAACCCUUAUGACUAGUUGCCAGCAUUUAGUUGGGCACUCUAGUAAGACUGCCGGUGACAAACCGGAGGAAGGUGGGGAUGACGUCAAAUCAUCAUGCCCCUUAUGACCUGGGCUACACACGUGCUACAAUGGAUGGUACAACGAGUUGCGAGACCGCGAGGUCAAGCUAAUCUCUUAAAGCCAUUCUCAGUUCGGACUGUAGGCUGCAACUCGCCUACACGAAGUCGGAAUCGCUAGUAAUCGCGGAUCAGCACGCCGCGGUGAAU
rnacentral:rRNA from 1 species